rnacentral:rRNA from 1 species
ACAUGCAAGUCGAGCGAACGGACGAGAAGCUUGCUUCUCUGAUGUUAGCGGCGGACGGGUGAGUAACACGUGGAUAACCUACCUAUAAGACUGGGAUAACUUCGGGAAACCGGAGCUAAUACCGGAUAAUAUUUUGAACCGCAUGGUUCAAAAGUGAAAGACGGUCUUGCUGUCACUUAUAGAUGGAUCCGCGCUGCAUUAGCUAGUUGGUAAGGUAACGGCUUACCAAGGCAACGAUGCAUAGCCGACCUGAGAGGGUGAUCGGCCACACUGGAACUGAGACACGGUCCAGACUCCUACGGGAGGCAGCAGUAGGGAAUCUUCCGCAAUGGGCGAAAGCCUGACGGAGCAACGCCGCGUGAGUGAUGAAGGUCUUCGGAUCGUAAAACUCUGUUAUUAGGGAAGAACAUAUGUGUAAGUAACUGUGCACAUCUUGACGGUACCUAAUCAGAAAGCCACGGCUAACUACGUGCCAGCAGCCGCGGUAAUACGUAGGUGGCAAGCGUUAUCCGGAAUUAUUGGGCGUAAAGCGCGCGUAGGCGGUUUUUUAAGUCUGAUGUGAAAGCCCACGGCUCAACCGUGGAGGGUCAUUGGAAACUGGAAAACUUGAGUGCAGAAGAGGAAAGUGGAAUUCCAUGUGUAGCGGUGAAAUGCGCAGAGAUAUGGAGGAACACCAGUGGCGAAGGCGACUUUCUGGUCUGUAACUGACGCUGAUGUGCGAAAGCGUGGGGAUCAAACAGGAUUAGAUACCCUGGUAGUCCACGCCGUAAACGAUGAGUGCUAAGUGUUAGGGGGUUUCCGCCCCUUAGUGCUGCAGCUAACGCAUUAAGCACUCCGCCUGGGGAGUACGACCGCAAGGUUGAAACUCAAAGGAAUUGACGGGGACCCGCACAAGCGGUGGAGCAUGUGGUUUAAUUCGAAGCAACGCGAAGAACCUUACCAAAUCUUGACAUCCUUUGACAACUCUAGAGAU